GUUGCAGUUAAAAAGCUCGUAGUUGAAGAUCUGGGUGAAGGCCGUGUCAUUGACACUAGGCCGGACCCCUAUUCACGAGGAAGCCUUAGUGCAUUAACUUGUGCUUUGGUCGAUUCGUGUCGUUUACUGUGAACAAAUUAGGGUGUUUAAAGCAGACCUCUGUUUGUAUACAUUAGCAUGGAAUAAUUAGAUAUGACUUCAGUUAUAUUUUGUUGGUGAUAACUAAAGUAAUGAUUGAUAGGAACAGUCGUGGGUAUUCGUAUGAGCAUGUCAGAGGUGAAAUUCUUGGAUUUUGAUCAGACGAACUACUGCGAAAGCAUUUACCAAGGAUGUUUUCAUUAAUCAAGAACGAAAGUUAGGGGAUCGAAGAUGAUUAGAUACCAUCGUAGUCUUAACCAUAAACUAUGCCGACUAGGGAUUGGUAGACGUUGCUUAAACGCUAUCAGUACC
rnacentral:rRNA from 1 species